UUCUUUCAAUCUACAUUUUAUUCCUGAAAGUCUUUACAAUAUUUAUAAAAUCUUGUUUUUUUCCCUUGUAAUAAUAUUACCUAUUAACUACAGCUUAAAUACAGUGCAAUGCUUACGGUAGGAAUCAUGCUUCCAACACCAUUGUCUAUUUGAGAUAUCUCAUACUGCUUUCACAUCAGGUACAGUCGCAGCGACUCUACCCAGCGAACGAUAGUACGUGCUUUCACACCACUGUCAAAAAUUGGUCAGGCCCAGAGCGGCCGAUAUGCGCAUCAUGAUCUGCGCAUAUUUUACGCUAUGCACAUUGACGUCACAAAGGAUGAAUUUUGAUCGGUUGCCGAGUACAAUGUGCUUUCACAUGAAGCUUGCAUUGGUCGCCGAGUACGAUGAAAUGCCUUCACAUCAUGAUUUCAUCAGUCGCUGGGAGUGUACCCAGCGACUUUGCCUUGAUGUGAAAGCAACAUUAGUUUAAUACCAAAGACUAUUUCAAAGGUUUACAAACAGAAGGCUUUAAUUUAAAAAGAAAAUGACAGUUUUCAGAGAGAGAGAGAGAGAAAAAAGUUGUUCAAUGAUUCUUUUUACCAACAAGAAAAUUUAUAGACGCAGAAAAGUAUUACUUUACUUCAAAGGCAAUUAAAGCUUGUGAAUAAGUGAUGUCACUAAAUUGGUGCAAUUCAGACAUACAUUUUUUAUGAAAAGCACAAAUUCAGUUCUUUAGUUUCCAGAAAAACUGUUCGCAUUACUGAUUAUUUUUUAGGCAAAAUCUCAAAAUGGCCAUAAUUAGAGCUAUAACCUUCUAUUUGUCAACCUUUGAUAAUAUUUGUUACAAUGCAAUAUUAAAGGGGAAUGUUUUUCAGGAGCAUGAUAUAUGCCCUAACACUGUUCUGUGAUCUACAUGUAUGCUAUCAUUCUAGUUACAAUAUCUACAUCUCCUAAAAUAAAUAAAUUAAGCUAAUAUAUUACCUCUCGUCAUAAUCAAUAAGUUUUACACAAAAUAUCAAAGAUGAAUUUCUGAGCGUGAUAUUAAAUUAUGGAGGAAGCUAAUUCAGUCCAAAUGGGUAAAGAAGCACAUUCAUCAAAUUGCACUAGCAAACUAAGUGAAUAUUGAACAAAUGUAAUAUCUCAACAAUUUUAUGCAGAAAUUCCCUCAACAUGUACAUGGUGAAACAAAGCAUAACAUGCUAGCAAUAUGAACCCAAUAAAAAUAAUGCUGCUGUCUAACUAAAAAAACAGUUUCCAGCUCGAUCAAAGCUUUUACCUGCAUGUUAUGACCAUUCAAACACCACUUGUCAGAAGCAAUUUGACUCAUUGUUUUGACUGUAACAUAAAUUAAAAUAACAAGGCUACUUUAUGAUUUGGAGAAAUGAAUGUUCAUUCAACUCAAAACGUUAGUAUAGAAUCUGGCCAAUUCUUCUCAUUUCCCCAAACUUUGAGCAUUUAAACGAAGGAGAAUAACAUACUGUACAUGCAUAAACAUAUAAAAUAUCGAAUACAGAGGAAUAAAACUCGAGUUGUAACUUUAUUGUUUGCUAAUUGAAUUGAAAUACAUGAAAUCAUAAUACUGGGUUUUUUUAACACAUCGUUAAAAUGUGACACAUUUGUUUUGCAGCAAUACGAUUUUGUUUACUUAUUAUUUGUUGACCUUAAAGACAAAGUAUUACAGAUAGCGGGGCAAUUGUCACCUUUCCAUCAACACAGGAAAUUACUUAACUUUUACAAAGGAAUCCCCCUUUAAUGGUGCGAAAACAAUUAAAGAUGUAAGUUUGUAACAAUGUAAAAAGAUUACUCAUGUAUCUAAAAGGCUUUGCAUACAUAUCAAGCACACCAUCACUUGAUUAAACAUUCUUGUUCAGACAUAACACUACAAAGCUCGGCAACAAUAGUCAAAGGGGAGGCUAUCCCUGAAGAAAAUUUUGUAGUAAAAGCACCCCCCCAAAAAAAAAACCCAUGAAGGUUCAAGGAAAACCCAUCAAAAUUUCAAAAAUUUUAAUAAUUUCAAGCUUUUGAUGUAAUAUCAUAUACAAGAAGCUGGCCUAUAUUUUAAAAAUUAUUGGUUCAAGAUGAAUAACAAUUUCUUUUUUUUCAGGGAAAUUGGUAUAGACUGAGGACCAGAAGUUAUUUUGAAACAUAAAUUCACGAUGCAGGGUGUAAGGAUUUUGAUAAAAAUCACGGAUACAAGUCUACGAAUUAGGGCCCUGUAUUCUCUAAUACAUUGAGUAAAUGAUGAUCUCAAGUUCGUCUGCAUUUUUAUCACACUAGUCUGAAGGGCUUGCAUGUUGGGAGAUUAUAAUGUGCAAGUCAAUACGACUUAUUUCCUUAAUGAUCUGCGACUUUAUUGUCCCUUUUAAGGGAUGCAAUUUGCCUUACCAUUAUCUGAUCACUAUGGAAAACAUUGCAGAGUUCUGGAGAGCGUUUUAUGAAAGGAUUUGUCAGAAGUUAUAUCUGAAAAGUCCUGUUUUAUCCGGCAUUUACCAUAGUAACAUUGACUUUCAACCAUAUUCAAGGAAACUUGCCAGAUCUGUCAACUUGUCCCACAAGAAUGUUGAUGGAUCACUCCCCGGUUGUAUCACAUCUGAACAAGGGAAUUUCAUCAAAAGAUUUUUCUCAAAAUCUUCUCUUUUUUAACUAGUGCAAAUUAACUUUCGUUCUUGGAAAAAAAAACCCAAACUAAAUAUAACACAUACAAAAAAACUAUUCAAAUUUUGCAAUGGUGAUUAUACAUGUACAU